GAGGGGCUGGGCGCAGAGGGGCGGGGCUUCCCGCGUACCUGAGACGCGCUGCGCCUGCGUCCUCCGCGACUCCGCGCUUGGCAGCCCCUUCUGGGAAGGUGUAAAAUGCCGCCAGGUGGGACCAUCUAGUUGCAGGAAAACAAGCUGAGGGCUCCCACUGAUUCUACAUUAUGGGCAGAGACCACAUCCUGUUUGUUUCUCAACGCUCAGUGCCUGACCUGAAGCCUCAUAUGCAGUGGUGCUGAAUGCAUGCUGGUGACGGAAGAAUGCACACGAAUGACUGAACGCCAGUGGACCUGACCAUGCUGGGCGUCGGCUGCCAACAGCCCACCAGCCGUAUGUCUUCCUGGCCCUGAUCCCACAUGCACUCAGUUUUAAAGAGCCACAGCGGCUACUGUGCUGGACCACGCUGAUAGAGCCCACGUCUACUAGAGCCCAUGUCUGCGAGCCACACCUCUAACACGUUCUCUGUAAAACCACUGGUGGCUGGAGUCACCCAGAGAGGGUGUCAACGCAAAAGAAGCUGUCUCUCCACCAUCGGAUAAUUCCAGGUGUUACACGCCUCAUGCCUCUCACAUCCCAGAAGGAAAAACUCCUUCCUGUCUCUCUCAGGGGUCCUCAGCUGAUGGGUUAUCAGCCAGCAGAAUCAGGAUGCUGAUUUGAAGUCAAGUGUGCUCAGCACUUUAGGGGAGAGCGCCCAAGAUCCUGAAAUGGACCUCCUGAUGCCACACUCUCACUUAGACCUAAAGGAAGAGACUUUUCACUAAACAUUCACACACUAAUUUACUCCACAAGCAUCCAUGGUGCCUCCUGGAUCUGCCUGGCCCCGUGGACCCCAACACCUUUCCUCCUUGUCAGCCCUGCCUUCACCUGCACCUUGGUGGGUCGCCUGCCCUCCCCACUUCAUUCCUGCAUCAGGGUUUGUUCAUCUACACCCUUUCUCCACCUUCACCGAAUGGACCAUCGUGCAGUCAGAAGUAAUACUAAAAGCUGCAAUUCUCUGAGCCUGUGUUAUGUGCCUGACACCUACCUUUUUACUUGUAUUUACUCUCACAUCACCCUGUGAGGUGGGCUCACAAUCCCCAUUUUACAGAUGGGAAAACUGAGUGGAAAGAGCUAAUAAGCACCAAGCCAAGAACUGAGUCCAGGCCUCCCUGCCUGCCUGACUCCAAGUCUACUCCGUGCAGGUCUGACAGAGGUCACACCACCCAGGACCAAGCAGAUUCGGUGGCGGGGAGCUGGCAGACUGGGCUGAGGAGGGAGGACUGAGCUUUUGUUCCUUUUUACUGACCCCACUCCCAUGCUGUCUGCCUCCCAACACUGCAGAUUGCAGACUUGAUCAUCAUCUAUUCAGUUGGCUUCUUUGAACACGUGAGUGGGGAUGGGGGUGUCUAAGACCCAAAAGUGUAAGCUCCUUGAGGACAAGGGCCUCGUGUAGCACGGGGCUUUGUGCACUUCAGUAAAACAUUCAACUGGGUGAGCAGUGGGCCCUCUGGUUCAGGGGAUAUGACCACAAACCCACCAUCCACCUGCAACAGCCCAACACUAACAACCCUGAUCAGUCCCCACCCUACCCCAAAACGACAGCUGUCUGGGAAUCCCAUGAAACCGGCCUUCCCUCCUCUAAACAUGAACAACCUCCAAGAACCUGGUGCCAAGAUAACGGUGGCCUCCACUCCCCCCUGAUGUUGAGCAUGCGCAGCCUCAGCGAAAAAGACUCAGCCCUGUUCUCAGCUGCGAGGACUCCAGCCUCCCCUUUGCCUCCCUCCCACCCAGCUCUGCCCACCCAGCAGAGCCUCCCAGGGGAGCUGGUGAAUAAUGCUUGACCAGAAGCCGCUCCUGCUCAAAUCCACAGUGAAGCCUAUGACAAUAAAUAGUGCCACUAUCGACUGGUGCAUAUUUACAUUUUCCCAGCAGGGAGUGAUGGAUGGCAAUUGUGUCCUGGGAACAACACUGCCUUAGGAAUUUCUGUUCUUUUUCCUGCCUUGAGGGGAAUGAAGGGUGAGGGUUACCAACACAGGAGAAGAAUCACUGGAGGGGCUUGGUGGCGGCAAGUUCCCAAGCCUCUGUGCUUGUGUAAUUUGUGUCCCACACAAUGUGCCUGCCAAGUCCUAUAGAGAGAAACCAGACACAAUCAAGUAGGCCAGGCUGGACUCAGAAGGGCACAAAGGACCCCAUCGUGGGCAUGUGUGGGAAGUAUUCAGGCCGAGAACCAAAAUCCUUGAAGUUCACUCUUUUAAAAACUCCAGCACUUUUACUGAACUAAAGAAUUAACUCAGCCAGGCGCAGUAGCUCAUGCCUGUAAUCCCAGCGCUUUGGGAGGCCAAGGUGGGUGGAUUGCUUGAGUCCAGGAG